rnacentral:rRNA from 1 species
UACAGAGGGGGCAAGCGUUGUUCGGAAUUACUGGGCGUAAAGGGCGCGUAGGCGGCCUGUUAAGUCGAACGCGAAAUCCCCGGGCUCAACCCGGGAACUGCGUCCGAUACUGGCAGGCUUGAAUCCGGGAGAGGGAUGCGGAAUUCCAGGUGUAGCGGUGAAAUGCGUAGAUAUCUGGAGGAACACCGGUGGCGAAGGCGGCAUCCUGGACCGGCAUUGACGCUGAGGCGCGAAAGCCAGGGGGAGCAAAACGGGG